UGUCUGAGUCUCACUUCAUUUCUCUCCCCAAGUCCACCUGCACAUUUGCAAGCAAUCAAGAAAAGAGCCUCGUGUCUCCUACUGUCCUGGACUGAGUCACUGUCUGCAGCACCACUCUCCCUUUACAGGCCAAAAGAUAGCUGCUUAAACAAGGGCUCCUCUCUUCACCUGGGCAUUGCUCACAACCACUGGCUAGAUGAGAGGAAGAGGACGGGAGAAGGGAAACAAGAUGCUUCUGGAAUCCACCCAGGAGAGUGACGUUCCUGGUGGGACUGCCGUCUUCCCAACCAGACGUCCUCCGGCCCUCAGUCCCCUAGAUCACACGGCCGCGUCAUCGGGAAGGGUGCUCUGUGAUGCCCACUAAACAACGGGUUACCUGACAUGGUAGCACCUCCAAAAAGAUGGCUUUCCAGUCACAAUGACCAAGAGGGGGCUGUCUGGUCAAAGUUCCUUUUUCCCUGCCUUCACCUCACUGAGGAUGGACUUUUAGUUUCUAAACCUGCUUAAAUUUUGCCUCCUCUCAGCGGAAUAGCAUUAAACCAGAGAGUGAUUAAGUUA